AUCAGGACUGCUGCUGCAUUAGUAUAUGCUGAGAAGUUGUGCCCUUCAUUGUUGUUUUUGCCACCAGCUAUUGUCUUCUCAUAUAAAGAAUCCCAUGAACAGCUUCCCACAUUGUCAUUCAGCAGAAGAAGAGAUAGAAGAAGCAGUGGGAAAACCUAGAGGGCUACAAGGCAUUUCACAAGUUUUGACUUUCCCUAAUUGAGACAAAGAAUUGAAACACUCUUCUUCCUGCUUGCAAGUUAAAAAGAUGUGUUUGACUCCUCAAAUGAUGCAACAGUCAUUCUUUGAUUGCAAAGGCUGGUCUGAAGAACAGAAUUUUCCAUUUUUAUGCUAACAUUGUCACUAAAGUUAACCUGUAUUCUGUUACUAGAUAUAUCUGUUUGUUUAAUAAUUUUAAAUAAUUUUAAUAUCUUAAAAGUGUUGAUUGCAUACCUCCCAAUUAUAUUGCUUACAAUAUUUUCAACAACAUUGUACAAUUUGCUCAAAAGCAUUCACACAUUUUAAACUGAGUUGAAUACUGAGUUAAACACAUGCUGGAGGGAAAAAAAGAUAUAUUAUUAAUUCUGUUCCAGAUUUUUAAAGCCAAUAGGGGAAGUGGAGGGAUUCACUAAGGUUAUGGUGGAGUUUAAAAGAACAAAAAACACCACCCUUUAACAAACACAUUUACAUUUUCCCCCUUCUUUCCUACCCUCUCCUUGAAACCACCAUUGAAAACCAAAUGUACUAGUUGUCUAGCUGAAUAUAUAAUAAUAAUAAUAAUAAUAAUAAUAAUAAUA